rnacentral:tRNA from 1 species
GGGUCGGUAGUCCAGAUUGGUUAAGAUGCCAGCUUGGGGAGUUGGUGAUCGCGGGUUCAAAUCCCGUCCGACCCA